rnacentral:ncRNA from 1 species
CUGUUUCAGGUGCCCGGAAGCUCCGGGAGAAUAGGGAAGUCAGGUGAAAAUCCUGCGCGAUCACGUCGCUGUGAAAGAACGGCCGCGUCAAAAUAUGUCACUGCCAGGGCGGGAAGACAGAACGCGGUGUCAAAGUCUUGAGCCAGAAGACCUGCCUGAAGGUAA